rnacentral:rRNA from 1 species
UACGUAGGGUGCAAGCGUUAAUCGGAAUUACUGGUCGUAAAGCGUGCGCAGUCGGUUUUGUAAGUCUGUCGUGAAAGCCCCGGGCUCAACCUGGGAAUUGCGAUGGAGACUGCAAGGCUUGAAUCUGGCAGAGGGGGGUAGAAUUCCACGUGUAGCAGUGAAAUGCGUAGAGAUGUGGAGGAACACCGAUGGCGAAGGCAGCCCCCUGGGUCAAGAUUGACGCUCAUGCACGAAAGCGUGGGGAGCAAACAGG